UUAGGUAGAGGACUACUGAGAUCCAAGAGACGAUGUCUCUACGCGGCACAUGGAGAACCAAAAUGGGAAGCAAGUAUGGAAACAGAUGGCGGCCAGACCCUUGCCCUGAUACAGUUAUUAAGUUUCACCAUCUGUAUAAGGCAAGAAAACACUUUUUUAAAAAACUGAAGUAUAAUUGCUUCACAAUAUUAUAUUAGUUUCAGGUAUAUGGCAUAGUGAUUAUUUUUAUAGAUUAUACUGCAUUAAAAGAUAUUAGAAAAUAACGGCCACAUCUCCCUGUGCCAUACAAUAGAUCUUUAUUGUUUACCUAUUUUAUGCACUGCCGUUUGUACCUCUUACCCCAUACCCCUUUCUCGCCCCUUCUUCCCUUUCUCUCCCCACUGGUAACCACUAGCUUGUUUUCUGUAUCUGUGAGAAGAGAGCACUUUUUUAAAUUGUUUCUUUUCCUCUGAAUUGCUGAACAUUUCUUUUUUCAAUCAUCCCUGAUUCUUCUACCACCAACAUAUUAUUGCAAAUAAACAUAAUCAGCAUGUCCCUAAGAACAUCUUUGGACUCAGAACACCAAUUUUUAAAAUCUUGGCUCUUCUGCUUACUAGUUUUGUAAAGACCCUAGUUUCUGUGUUCUCAUCUAUAAAGUUGGAAUAAGAAUAGAACUUAUUUCCUAGAGAUAUUAUGAUGAUUAUAUCACAAAUCUAUGCAAAACCUCCUACAACAGUAGACUAAUAAGCAUUAAAUAAAAUAAUCCAUAUAAAGCACUUGGUAGCCAGAUCAUUAUAAUCAGAAGUAAAAGUAAUUAUUAUCUUAGUUAUAAUUAUUAUUAAUAAGCAUCCUCAGAGGAAGCUCCCAUGUGGCACAGCAGGCUAAGGAUCCAGCAUCGCCACAAUUGCAGCACAGGCUCCACCCCUGGCCCAGGAACUUCCACCUGCCGGGUGCAGCCAAGAACGAAACAAAACAAAACAAAAAACCUGGCCUCAGAAGUCUUCCUUCACUGGCUACCCUUCUUCUAUUAGUUUGAAAAUACGAGUUGUCCUGGAAACUUCAAUCCAACAGAAAAGAUCACAACUGCCACUGUGACUUCCCAAUUAGUCAAAUCUAAUGUGCAUAUAGUAACAGUUCCCCAUGAGUGGAGAAAUAUCACAUUAGCAUUGCAUCAGCUGAAUCAUGUGAAUUUGAUUUAUCAGCAUUCCAGGGAGUGAAGGGUUUGGGUGUUACGUGGAGAUUCAGUUAUUGAGUGGUUAAACAAUGUCCACUCAAAAUAGCAUGUAAAGUAAAAUACAAGAUCAAUUUAUACCAGAGAAAGCAAACCAGUAAUGAGCUUGCAUAAAGAUUAGGUUGACUACCAUCAAUAUAAAUUAAACAUAUUUUUUAUCCAUAGCUUCAUAACAGAUUUUUAACUUGUUAAUACAAGCCUUCUUAAUACCAUGUUUGCUUGUUUGUUUGUUUUUUGGCUGAGAUGAAAGUUGGAUUCUUACUGGGCAACUGUAAUCUUGACAGUACUUGCCCCGUAGACCUUGCAUUCACAAAUCUCAGACUCCAUUUCCUAGCAACUUGCCCCAAGACAACAGCCAACAAAUAUUAUAGAAUAAAUCAAUUUUUUUUGCCACAGAUCCAUUCAUACCUUCUUUCAAAACAUGAACACAUUCUUAAAACAUAAGCCAACAGUUAAUCUCUUAAUAAAGAUGUGUGAAUAAGCUUUAAAACCAAGUCAUCAUUUCAUCGCACUGUUUAUUUCCUAUUAAGCUGUCAAACAAAAAAAAUUACUACCUAAACUGAUUAAAUACCUUGUCCUUCACUCUGAGACCACAAACCACUUAAAAGGAGGAUGACAUUAGUUCUAUAGAUAUCUCAAGAAAAUUAUUCUUACUUUUAUAGAGAAUAUAAUGUAUGGUUAAAAUAGAUGUCGUGGACUAGUUCAUAUCUUUUAAUCAUGCACAUUGAACUACUUUUUUCUUAAGAAUAGACCUAAUAUUUACUUACAGGCAAAAAUAAUUUAAUUCACGAAAUAAAGAAUUCAGCUUUGUUAAGAAAAGUUAAAAUCUCAUUUUUAAGUUAAGAGAGAAGCUUAAAGGAAUUCCCACUGCGGCAAGUGGGUUAAGAAUCCCAAUACAGUGGCUUGCGUCACUGCAAAGGUACAGGUUAGAUCCUGGCCAGGCGCAAUGGGUUAAAGGAUCCAGCACUGCCAUCUCAGCNAAAAAAAAAAAAAAAAAAAAAGAGAGAGAGCAAGAGAGAAGCUUACAAUCUCUUUAGUAUAAUUAUAUUGUUAUAUAAAAUGAUUUAAAAAUUUAGAUAUAUAACAAAAAAGUUUUAUUUUAAACAUCAAAAAUGAGGGAAAAUACUAAAAAUGGAAGUGUAAGAAAUACAUUGAAGCUUACAUUCCUCUAUAUAAAAUACUUAACUCUCCCGGGGCUAUUUGCAGACCUCAGAGUGCAUAGCUUAAAGAUUCAAAAAUCCUAGUUUUUCUACUUCAAAAAUCAAUAGUUAUCUCAUACCACAAGCUAGAAUCUUGAUUGUUUGCGUGGGAAGCCCUUCAAUUUUAACGAAUGUAAAGAGAGAAUCUACUCUGCUCACCAGAAACUGGAAUUAUGUUCUCAAAUGUAUCCUAUCAACUAUCCCUCACCUAGCCUUCUGAGACUUAAUUCUCUCUCUGACCUAAGAUGUUUUGAAUGUCUUCCACAAUUAUUACUUUACUGGCACUUUGAUGACUCAUAAUUAUUUUUAGGAUCAAAACUCUAACCUAACCAUCUGCUGAUUUGCCAGUACUCCCUAGUAUAACUGAAACAUACACAUCUAUCGCCAACAACUAAAUGAGCUUCCUCUAUCUACAAAUACUAUUAUUCACAGAAAGUUUACUGAAGGUCAGGAAACAGAUUGAGAGAAGUCACUGAAUGCCAGAAGCAGAACUUUAAACAAAAGUUUAUUUCUGCCAGUAAGUGAGAAAGGUUACAUAUGUAACUUAGAUGGUUUGGUCUUCCCUUGCUUCUUCCUAUUUACAAAUACAAACAUCUCUUCUCAGAAGCAAAUAAAUAAAUCAUUUUCUUAAGAAGUCACAGUCUCGCUGAAUUUUACUUUCCAACCAAAUUUAAACGUUUUGCUUAAUACUCCUUAAAGUGCUAAAAACUCACUGAUGUCACAUACCAAGAAUUAAAAAAAAAAAAAAAGAAUUAAAAAUUCUGUCUUUACAAACAGAAGAAAAGCAACAACUCCAGAAGAAAAUAAUUCUAUCCAGACACCGGAGAAGAUCUCAUGAGAGUUAAGAUAUUUAAUUACCACAAUUUGGGAACAAGAAGCAACAAUGGAGAAAAGCAAAUAGAAGGUAAACAUGAGAGCGAUAGUUAAAUGCAAAUUCAUGAGUAGAAACCAAAAGUGUGAAAACUGAUCAUAUUUAAUGAUGCAUCUCUGCUUUCCCAGUUCUUCCUCAAUCAUAUGGUAAAAGAAAAUAUGAAGACACAUUAAUCCUGCUACCGGCCUUGAACACAGAAUAGGCAUUCAAAGCAAAAAGUUGAUAGUGCAACACUGACUAAAGCUAACUUGUCAAAAAGUAUCACUCCUUUAGGUAAUCAAUUACAACAGGGAUUCUAUAUACACUCUCCAGGCACAGUAAGGGUUAAAACAUACUCCCCUGUGGUGGUGCGUGACCAUGGGCUCAAGCACAUUUUAGUGUACCCCGACAUCAGCUAGAUCCUAAGUGAAUGGAGUCUACAAUAGUUUGAUCAAAGAGAUUGAGGGUAAAAGGAGCAAUUGCUUUUUGGGGUAGCUAAUGGAACACAAGAACAACUGGUUUGUACAUCAUUUUACUCUACAGUUCUACACAUCCUUGAGUUUAGAAACUGUCAAGUAUUUUUAAGGGUGAGAAUAUAAGCAGGAUCAAAGCUACAGUUAAAACUGUGAAUGCUCUGAAAAUCUUUUGGCCCUUUAAAGUUUAUGUACACAAUAGAGUUCUCCUCUCUCCAGAGAACAUCACUAAACAAAACCAAGGGGGAGCACAUACUACAGCAGCAGCUACUGGGAAUUACCAAAUUACAUGAAAUUAAUGGGAUGUGGCUCUUUGCAAUGAAUAAAUUUAUAACUAAAUGAUGAGUGCCUUACGCUUUUUAUUCCACCGGGUAAACUGCUAGAGUAAUCAAUUCAAUCAGGUCUAUUAGAGAGGCCCAUUAUAUGUCCGAUGGGCAGCUUUACUUCUUUCCCCUCCUUCUUCAGAUUUCUGUCUGUGCUGAAGGAAAAAUAAGCAGGUUGGUCCUUGAAUUUAAAUCUGGAAUGUUAAGAAGUCAGAUAUGCAAAUAGAUAAAACAGAAAAAAGGAAGCCAAGACUCGAUAAGCCAAAGGCACAAAAGAAAAAGAGAAACAUCAGGAAUACUAAAAUGUUUAGGGACCAAAUCAAAUAUUUUCAAUUUAUUUUUUAAAUGUAAUGCUGGUAAUAUUCAGAAAAAUAUUUCUAAAAUUAAAAAAAAAAGGGGGGGGGGGGGCUCAAGGAUAGAAUUACCAUGGCUCAGGCUUAGAAGGAUACAAACCAGUAUGCUUGCCCUAGGGCUGAGUGAUCCAUAUAUAGACCUGCAGAGGCAACAGUAAACUUCACAGGAAUUAUGUAAGCAAGGCUCUUCCUACGAUGAAAUGGUACCACAAAGGGGCAAGAAAUGACCUAGGCUUUACUUCCUGUAAUGAGGCAAUCUUUGCAACCCUAUGAAAAGUUUCUUAAUCCCAAGACUGGCAAUAUAACUUUUCUUAACUACCUCAUAGUUUUAAAAGGAGAGCCACACAAAUAACACAUGUAAGGGCUCAGUAAAGGUAAAAGUGUGAAACAGAGAAAAGGUAGCACUGACACCAGAGGCAGUCUCAGUGCUAUGGCUAACACAAAGCAAAGGCUCAACCAACAAUUGCUGGAUGAAAGAAUGAACGUUUUAAAAUAAUUUUAAGGCGUUCCCGCUGUAUUGCGGUGGGUUAAGAUUCCAGCUGCAGGAGUUCUCAUCUUGGCGCAGCAGAAACAAAUCCAACUAGGAACCAUGAGGUUGUGGGUUUGAUCCCUGGCCUCACUUGUGGGUUAAGGAUCCGGCGUUGCUGUGAGGUGUGGGGUAGGUUGCAGACG
rnacentral:lncRNA from 1 species